rnacentral:sRNA from 1 species
GGUGAACCUGCGGAAGGAUCAUUACCGAUGUGAAAAAAUCCAAGGUUAAACAUCAUUAACCAGUGUGAACUGUGAAACAACUCUUUAGGGGUCGGCACAGGCGUGUGUCGUUAAAUGGCGGAUAGGUUCCUUCCGCCAGCCCCGCCAUUGUGUUUAUGAUAUCACUUUGAACGUUAAAGACUGAGAACGUAUGUAUCAUGCAUUAAAUGUAUGAGAAAGAAGGAAAGAAAAAUGAGAGACAACUUUUGACGGUGGAUCUCUUGGCUCACGUAUCGAUGAAGAACGCAGCCAGCUGCGAUAUGUAGUGUGAAUUGCAGAAUUCAGUGAAUCAUUGAAUCUUUGAACGCAAAUGGCGCUCUUGGGUUCUCCCAGGAGCAUGUCUGUCUGAGUGUCGGAUUUUAUCGAACGCACUCGUGAGUGCGGUAUUGAGGUGUCACGGCGUGUUAGCAUUAAAUCGCCGUGUCCCUUGAAGGACAGCAGCAUUGGACUCGCAUUCUCUAUUGAAACUUGAGUGCGAAGGCUAAAGAUAAUAUUUUCCUUCGCCCAAACAUGCAAUAGCAGAAACAAAAUCCAAUCAAAGCGGUGACAGACAAUGACAACAUCAAAUCUUGACCUCAGAUCAGGCAAGGCUACCCGCUGA